AUUGAACGCUGGCGGCAGGCCUAACACAUGCAAGUCGAGCGAGCGGCGGACGGUUGAGUACUGUCUGGGAACCUGCGUGAUGGAUGCGGAUAACUACUGGAAACGGUAGCUAAUCCCGCACACCAGCCGAUGUGCCCAGUUGGGAGUAGCUAGAAGGGGGGGUAACGGCUCACCUAGGGGACGAUCGCUAGCGGGUCUGAGAGGAUGACAAGCCACACUGGAACUGAGAAACGGUCCAGACUCCUACGGGAGGCAGCAGUGGGGAAUAUUGCACAAUGGGCGCAAGCCUGAUGCAGCAAUGCCGCGUGUGUGAAGAAGGCUUUCGGGUUGUAAAGCACUUUCAGCGGGGAGGCGUUACCCGCAGAAGAAGCACCGGCUAACUCCGUGCCAGCAGCCGCGGUAAUUC
rnacentral:rRNA from 1 species